rnacentral:pre_miRNA from 1 species
AGUGGGAUAACUGGGUCAAAUGGUGCUUCUAUUCCAAGUUUUCUGAGAAAUAUCCAUACUGCUUUCCAAAUUGGUUGCACCAAUUUGCAGUUCCACCAGCAAU